rnacentral:rRNA from 1 species
UACGAAGGGGGCUAGCGUUGCUCGGCAUCACUGGGCGUAAAGGGUGCGUAGGCGGGUUUUUAAGUCAGAGGUGAAAGCCUGGAGCUCAACUCCAGAACUGCCUUUGAUACUGAGGAUCUCGAGUUCGGGAGAGGUGAGUGGAACUGCGAGUGUAGAGGUGAAAUUCGUAGAUAUUCGCAAGAACACCAGUGGCGAAGGCGGCUCACUGGCCCGAUACUGACGCUGAGGCACGAAAGCGUGGGGAGCAAACAGG